rnacentral:rRNA from 1 species
UGAGGAAUAUUGGUCAAUGGGCGGAAGCCUGAACCAGCCAAGUCGCGUGAGGGAAGACGGUCCUAUGGAUUGUAAACCUCUUUUGUCAGGGAGCAACAGAGGCUCGUGAGCCUUAAUGAGAGUACCUGAAGAAAAAGCAUCGGCUAACUCCGUGCCAGCAGCCGCGGUAAUACGGAGGAUGCGAGCGUUAUCCGGAUUUAUUGGGUUUAAAGGGUGCGUAGGCGGAUUGUUAAGUCAGUGGUAAAAUUGAGAGGCUCAACCUCUUCCCGCCAUUGAAACUGGCAGUCUUGAGUGAGCGAGAAGUAUGCGGAAUGCGUGGUGUAGCGGUGAAAUGCAUAGAUAUCACGCAGAACUCCGAUUGCGAAGGCAGCAUACCGGCGCUCAACUGACGCUGAAGCACGAAAGCGUGGGGAUCGAACAGG